ACGAACACCUCUUCAGGAAUGUCAGUGCAGAUGAGGAAACUGAAGCACACAGUGGACCAUGCUUUGCCCACGAUCUCCCAGGUCUGUCUGGAACUAACCCCCCCAUCUCAGCAAAGCAGCAACCAAAGGCCAGAGGUCACAUUACAUGGCCACCAAGGGAUGGCUGAGCCCACUCUGGAGAGCCAAGGCCCAGGGAUACAGACUGGAUGCCAGGGUGGACAGGGGACAGAAGUGGCAGAAUGGAGGCCUGUGCCGGGCAGUAAGGACACAGAGCUGAGUCACACCUGGGCCUCAGUCUGAAGGAGCACAGCCACGGACACCCAACUUCCCCACAGGAUGCUGAGAUCCAAAGAGAGCUGCAGACAAAGCACGGGUGCAGCUUCAGAAAAAGGCACUGGGGAAAGGGCAGAGAAAUCAGAACAGACUGCAUGGAGGAGGAGGCAGAGCGCCAAAAUAAUCGAGGGAUAGAAUCUGGACAGACAGAGAUGGACCAUGGCCUUGUUCUCAGCAGGGGUCCUGCCUGAGCAGAAGUAACAGGCCUCCUAGCAAGUGGCAGCACGGAGUGGCCGGAGCAGGAACUGACGUGACUAGACUGCAGGGGAGGGGCUGGGGCACCAGCCGCUUCCUCACCCCGCCGCCCACUCACACACCCCGUGGGGGCAGGAGGAUCCUUGCCUCCCCAGUGGCCUCCCAGGGCCACUCGCAGGCUUUCGGGCACAUUUUGCCAUCUGGCCACCAAUUUCAUGCUUAUGAACCCAAGUGAUAGGAGGAUGAGGGUGACCAACUUUUUAAGGAGCCAAACCCAGACACAGUCAUACCAGACCAAAAGAAUCCCAAAAUGUGAUA